rnacentral:rRNA from 1 species
GACGAACGCUGGCGGCGUGCUUAACACAUGCAAGUCGAACGGUGAAGCGCCUUCCUUUUUGGUGGGUGUGGAUGAGUGGCGAACGGGUGAGUAACACGUGAGUAACCUGCCCCCUUCUUCUGGAUAACCGCAUGAAAGUGUGGCUAAUACGGGAUAUUCUGGGCCUGUCGCAUGAUGGGUCUGGGAAAGAGAUUGUUUCGGUGGGGGAUGGGCUCGCGGCCUAUCAGCUUGUUGGUGGGGUGAUGGCCUACCAAGGCGGUGACGGGUAGCCGGCCUGAGAGGGUGGACGGUCACACAGGGACAGAGAAACGGCCAAGACUCCGACGGGACGCAGCAGUGGGGGAUACUGCACGGUGGGCGCACGCCUGAUGCAGCGACGAGGCGUGAGGGAUGGAGGCAUUCGGGUUGUGAACCUCUUUCGGGAGUGAAGCGGGCCUGCCUCGUUUGUGGGUAGGUUGACGGUAGCUGGCUAAGAAGCCACGGCUAACUACGUG